UUAAUGGAGAGUUUGAUCCUGGCUCAGGACGAACGCUGGCGGCGUGCCUAAUACAUGCAAGUCGAGCGGGGUUAAUUAGAAGCUUGCUUCUAAUUAACCUAGCGGCGGACGGGUGAGUAACACGU
rnacentral:rRNA from 1 species